rnacentral:rRNA from 1 species
GAUGAACGCUGGCGGCGUGCCUAAUACAUGCAAGUCGAGCGAACGGACGAGAAGCUUGCUUCUCUGAUGUUAGCGGCGGACGGGUGAGUAACACGUGGAUAACCUACCUAUAAGACUGGGAUAACUUCGGGAAACCGGAGCUAAUACCGGAUAAUAUUUUGAACCGCAUGGUUCAAAAGUGAAAGACGGUCUUGCUGUCACUUAUAGAUGGAUCUGCGCUGCAUUAGCUAGUUGGUAAGGUAACGGCUUACCAAGGCAACGAUGCAUAGCCGACCUGAGAGGGUGAUCGGCCACACUGGAACUGAGACACGGUCCAGACUCCUACGGGAGGCAGCAGUAGGGAAUCUUCCGCAACGGGCGAAAGCCUGACGGAGCAACGCCGCGUGAGUGAUGAAGGUCUUCGGAUCGUAAAACUCUGUUAUUAGGGAAGAACAUAUGUGUAAGUAACUGUGCACAUCUUGACGGUACCUAAUCAGAAAGCCACGGCUAACUACGUG